GGGGCAUGCUGGGAGCAGUAGCAUCUUAGCUGCUUCCGGCCGCUGGUCGCAGGGCUGCGGGACUACAAUCUUCGCAUGAAAUGGAAGAGAGGGUGGUGCGGAUAGCUUGAGGAAGGAACACUACAAGGCCUGUUAGAGAAGAAAGGGUAGAAUCCCGAGAAUGUUUUCCCCACAGUGCUGAUAAGGAGAGACCACUAUCCCAUCUACUGCUACAGCUCUGGAGACAGAGCUCUCCCACCUGUCAUAUAGAACACAAGGACCAAUCUGCAGAGAAAGAGCAUCCAAACCUGAUCCAGUGGACACUGGGGAAAAACUCACCACAGCUGAGUGUGGAAAAACAAGGCCAACACACACAUCUCUGCACAGAUACAUCUCCCAUAAAGAAACUAAAGUGUUAAUUUACAGGGCACUGUUGCAGACCCACUUCAGCUGGAAGCUAGGAACAUGGACAAGGAGCCUCUCUACCACCAAGGGAGAGAGAGGAAUGUGCUCUUGUCCUGGCAUUGCAUCCACAGGAGGGGCAGGAAAUUCUUUGAAGGUCUCGCAUCUGGGGCUCGAUCUCGUGCAGAGGAGCAUUUCCGAAGACACUGGCCGCUCCCACAAUGGCUCCGAAGAACCCAGCGACCAGCGGGUUCAUGAGUUUGUUGGGGCUGUCCACUCGGUACCAGCUGCGCAGGGAUGUCAGGACAAAGAAACAAGUUGCCUGGUUCCAGCCCUGCUUCAGCACGGGGCCUGUGGGGCCCCGGACCACCACGGCCUCGGCCACGCUAGCUCACUGGCCGCACCGCUGCCCGCCUUGCUGUUCACCAGUCCCUGGGCAUCCCGCAUCUGGUUGCUGAGGAACGCCUGACGCCGCCUUGUGGAUGAAGCCGCAGAGCAGGGAGCUGAGGCUGCGGCCCAGGCCCAGGCUGCCUUGGCUGCGACUGUGUGCCUGCAGGCCCCAUGCCCGGUAUCCGGUGGAUGCGAGUGCUAGUCCAGCUGCAGCUGCAUCUUCACGAACUCGGCUGGAGUGCAGUGGCGCGAUCUUGGCUCACUACAACCUGGAUUCAAGCGAUUCUCCUGCCUCAGCCUCCCGAGUAGCUGGGAUUACAGGCAUGUGCCACCAUUCCCGGCUAAUUUUUUUGUCUUUUUAGUAGAGACGGUGUUUCCCCAUGUUGGUCAGGCUGGUCUCAAACGCCUGACUCAGAUGAUCCGCCCGCCUCGGCCACCCAAAGUGCUGAGAUUACAGGCUUGAACCACCGCGCCUGGCCCUGUGAUGUAGAUUUUGAUGCUGCCAGCCAGGCUGCCUGCCGGGAUCGCCUGCCCUGGAGCAGGAGCAUCAGCCGUGCGUUCCAGGACGCAGGCAUGGCAUGACCGGCAGGAGGCGGAGUGCCCGGCGUCUCUUGGGAUCGGAGCCUCCUGAAUUCCACGCUGGGACCUUAAUUUGGUUUUAACACAAAUAAAGAUCUCACAUAAAGAUAAAA
ensembl:lncRNA LINC02987 long intergenic non-protein coding RNA 2987